GCCAAAGGAAGGGUGUACAUGAACAGAUUGAUGAAAGAGUUACAGUCUCUCAAAGGGGUGAAGGUGUCUCUAAAUAAGGUGGACACUUUCCUGAAAAACAUGGGAAUUGAUCUCAAGAAGAAAAAAAUCCAGGAACUGAAGGACCUCCUACCAACUGAUGGUAAUGGGAAGAUUGAUGUAAAUGUACUGAUAGAUGAAGUUAAAAAUAUUACA